GACGAACGCUGGCGGCGUGCCUAAUACAUGCAAGUAGGACGCAGUUGCGAACGGGUGAGUAACGCGUAGGUAACUACCUAUUAGAGGGGGAUAACUAUUGGAAACGAUAGCUAAUACCGCAUACUAGUAGAUGGACCUGCGUUGUAUUAGCUAGUAGGUAGGGUAAUGGCCUACCCAGGCAACGAUACAUAGCCGGCUUGGGAAGGUGAUCGGGCACACUGGGACUGGGAAAAGGCCCAGACUCCUACGGGAGGCAGCAGGAGGGAAUAUUCGGCAAUGGGGGGAACCCUGGACGAGGAAAGCCGCGUGAGUGAAGAAGGUUUUCGGAUCGUAAAGCUAUGUUGUUAAGGAAGCGGUACUUAAACAGAAAGGGACGGCUAACUACGUGCCAGCAGCCGCGGUAAUAC
rnacentral:rRNA from 1 species